UACGGGGGGAGCAAGCGUUGUUCGGAUUUACUGGGCGUAAAGGGCGCGUAGGCGGCGCAACAAGUCACUUGUGAAAUCUCCGGGCUUAACCCGGAGCGGUCAAGUGAUACUGUCGUGCUAGAGUGCAGAAGGGGCAACUGGAAUUCUCGGUGUAGCGGUGAAAUGCGUAGAUAUCGAGAGGAACACCUGCGGCGAAGGCGGGUUGCUGGGCUGACACUGACGCUGAGGCGCGAAAGCGUGGGGAGCAAACAGG
rnacentral:rRNA from 1 species